CGGGCUCCUUCCGCAAGGCCAGCACAGGCAGCUGCGGCUGCUUCUGUGUCCUCGCCCGCAUCUGGUGUCUCUGUCUCUCGGCUGAAGAUCAGAAACUAGAUUCAUCUUUAUAUUUCCACAGGGCCUGGCACAGUUUUGGCCUUGGAGCAUGAGCAUGUUGUGGAAAUAUUUCAGUUCUGCUUGAGUGAGGAAGUCGGAGUGGAUCCAGUCUUCAGCAGCCCGUGUGGCUGCGCAGCCAGGGCUGCUCCCCCGGGGCAGCCUCCCUUGCCGCGUCACCGCCUGGCGACAGCGGCGCCCUGUUUCUGACGGCUCUUGGCCACACUGGAUGGCGUGAGGCUGCCCCUCCUCAGCACCGCCCGCCGGACUCCGGACGGGCACAGCAAGGCCUCUUCAGAGCCAGGAACAGGAAGCAGUAAAUGCCCGACCGAGGACAAGCUGAGGGAGGGGUGGACAGUCUAGAUUUGGUGAUUUCAUUGCUGUGCAAACAUUACAGAGUUACUUACACAAACCCAGAUGGUGCAGCCUACUCCAAACCUAGGCUACAUGGACAGCUGAUUGCUCCCGGGCUGCAGAGCUGCACAGCAUGUGACUGUACUGAACACUGUAGGCAACUGUAACACAAUGACACAAACACACAGUAGGCCUACACAGGGUCAGGAUCAUCGAUAUCACUGCCGUCCACUCCACACCUCGUCCCUCCGGAAGGUCUUCAGGGCCGACAGCAGGCCUGGGGCUGCCGCCCUGUGACAGCAAUGCCUUCUGGAUGCUUCCUGGAGGACCUGCCCGGGGCUGUUUUACAUUUACUUUUUUUAUGUAAGCAAAAUGAGCAUACUCUAAA